rnacentral:rRNA from 1 species
CGGAGGGUGCAAACGUUGCUCGGAAUCAUUGGGCGUAAAGCGCACGUAGGCGGCUCGUUAAGUCGGUUGUGAAAUCCCUGGGCUCAACCCAGGAAGAGCAAUCGAAACUGGCGAGCUUGAAUAUGGAAGAGGGUCGCGGAAUUCCCGGUGUAGAGGUGAAAUUCGUAGAUAUCGGGAGGAACAUCAGUGGCGAAGGCGGCGACCUGGGCCAAUAUUGACGCUGAGGUGCGAAAGCGUGGGGGAGCAAACAGGGUUAGAUACCCUGGCAGUCCACGCUGUAAACGAUGGAUGCUAGGUGUUGGGGGUAUUGACCCCUCCAGUGCCGCAGUUAACGCAUUAAGCAUCCCGCCUGGGGAGUACGGCCGCAAGGGCUA